rnacentral:rRNA from 1 species
UACGGGGGGAGCAAGCGUUGUUCGGAUUUACUGGGCGUAAAGCGCACGUAGGCGGCUUUGCAAGUCAGAGGUGAAAGCCCGGGGCUCAACCCCGGAAUUGCCUUUGAGACUGCAUCGCUAGAAUUGUGGAGAGGUAAGUGGAAUUCCGAGUGUAGAGGUGAAAUUCGUAGAUAUUCGGAAGAACACCAGUGGCGAAGGCGACUUACUGGACACAUAUUGACGCUGAGGUGCGAAAGCGUGGGGAGCAAACAGG